rnacentral:misc_RNA from 1 species
GAGAACAAGUGGCGUUUCAGGGCACUUAUUCCUUACCAUGCAGACUAUUUCUUCAAUAUAAGGCUUUGACCAACAGUCCCACAUGCUAGGUGGUAGCUGUCCACCCCAGGAAUCAAAUAUUUGUACGCAAUGAGCCCCAGACUCCACUUGAAAAACAAUGUAGUGAGCUAUUGUCUGUGUCAAAUGAGAGAGAAGAGCCCUCAGUACAUGUGGUGCUGUAUGGCACAUACUCUUUAUGUUAGUGUAUGUGCGAGUUGUACCCCCUUCCACUAUAUAUGUAGCAAUUGUCCAAGGAGCUCCAACAAAACCCAAAACUGCAGCAUGUCCAUUAACCUCAUGUCGCAAUAUUCUAAGUGAUUCCCCCACAAAAUGG